UUUUAAAAUGAACUUAAUGCUAUUAAUGCAAUACAUACACACUGUGCUCUUAUGAUGUUCUGACUAACUGUUGUUUUAAAUACAAUUUAACUUGCUUUUUUGUAUCUGAGCUGUGGCGACUGUACAGGACCGUAAAGUGUCUAGUACCAUAAACUGUAUCUCUAUUUGUGCUGUAUUCACAUCUAAACAAAGCCUCUCUGCCGAUAAUUACAGGUUUAUGAGAUCUACAGUACAGUAACAACCAAAGUUUGAGGAAUUAAUCCAGAUCACAUUCUGUUUGUGUUCUGAACAUUUUUCUUGUACAAGUCAGUAAGUAACCACAAGAGGGUGCUAUGAGCUACAGCAUAUGAAUAGUGAUGACACUGUGGACUAUGAAACAGAUCUGAUCUGCUCUUUCAUUUAGAUCUCUGGAGGAGGGAGGGUUUAAAGCUUUGACAUCUGAUGUGAUCUUGAUAAGUGUCUGUAAGAGAAGUCUGUUCAACAGAACAUAAGGAACAAACACAAUGAUGCUCCAUUCUUUUAUUCUGCUUUCUGCACUUGCAUAUGCAACAUAUGGAAAUGAAAUUAAACCAACCAAAACAGAGGAGUUCGCUGUUGAGAGUUCAAGUGUUACAUUAUCCUGCAGUUAUUCAUCUGCAUAUAAUCUUCACUGGUACCGUCAGUAUCCCGGAUCAGCUCCUCAAUUCCUUGUGCUCAUCUCAGACAGUGCAAAAAAACCUGAGAAGUCUUAUGUAGAUUCCAGAUUCACUACUGAAAUCAGAAAAGAAAAAGAAAACCAUGUGUAUCUGAUCAUCUCCUCUGCUGCAGUAUCAGACUCUGCUCUGUAUUACUGUGCUCUGGUGCCCACAGUCACAGGAAACACAAGAUCACUGUACAAAAACCUGCUUCUGCUCAGAGUGAGGAAUCAAUGGUCUACUACAGUUUGGGAGAAAUGAGACUCUUGAAUCUUGAAUUAUACCCAGAUCCCCUCCAGUAUGUCAAGUAGCAUCUUGUUGAUUCAAAUAAGCCAUAUGUCACAAUUUUGAGCAUUUUUGAAAUACAUUAUUAUAAGUUAAAAGUGUUUGUCUAAAACAUGGCACAAAUCACCUAUUUGCAUGUACAAAAGUCAUAAAUACAAUCAAGUCACCUUCUUCAGAA